AAUAAAAUUUUUCAACUCUUCUUUUGCAAUGAUUAGAGUUCAAUUUUUUUGCCCAGGGUCAUUUUUUGUUUUUUCUUUUCAAUCUGACAGUCAUUUAGGGAAUAGCUUAUUUCUUGUCUCCUUGGGUUUCGUAUGCCAGUGGAAUUAUCUUCUGAUAUCAAGUAUAUUGGGUGCUUUCCUUCCAAGGCCUUUCGUAAUGGUCAUUUCAUCUAACACUAUGAUUCCUGCUGCCAAAUG
rnacentral:misc_RNA from 1 species